rnacentral:rRNA from 1 species
AGCAGCCGCGGUAAUUCCAGCUCCAAUAGCGUAUAUUAAAGUUGUUGCAGUUAAAAAGCUCGUAGUUGAAUUUCGGGAUCAAUUGAUUGGUCAUGCCUUGGUAUGUACUGGUCAUAUUGGUUCUCACCUUCUAAUGAACCAUAAUGUCAUUUACUUGAUGUUAUGGGGAAUUAGGACUGUUACCUUGAAAAAAUUAGAGUGUUUAAAGCAGGCUUACGCUUGAAUACAUUAGCAUGGAAUAAUGAAAUAGGACAUCGCAUUCUAUUUUGUUGGUUUCUAGGAUCGAUGUAAUGAUUAAUAGGGAUAGUUGGGGGCAUUAGUAUUCAAUUGUCAGAGGUGAAAUUCUUGGAUUUAUUGAAGACUAACUACUGCGAAAGCAUUUGCCAAGGAUGUUUUCAUUAACCAAGAACGAAAGUUAGGGGAUCGAAGACGAUCAGAUACCGUCGUAGUCUUAACCAUAAACUAUGCCGACUAGGGAUCGGAUGAUGUUGAUUUUUAAAUGACUCAUUCGGCACCUUAC